rnacentral:rRNA from 1 species
UACGAAGGGGGCUAGCGUUGUUCGGAAUUACUGGGCGUAAAGCGCGUGUAGGCGGGUCCUUAAGUCAGGGGGGAAAUGCCGGAGCUCAACUUCGGAACUGCCUUUGAUACUGGGGAUCUUGAGUCCGGGAGAGGUGAGUGGAACUGCGAGUGUAGAGGUGAAAUUCGUAGAUAUUCGCAAGAACACCAGUGGCGAAGGCGGCUCACUGGCCCGGAACUGACGCUGAGACGCGAAAGCGUGGGGAGCAAACAGG